CACAACAUAUGGAGUUCCCAGGGCCAGGGAUCAGAUCUGAGCCAUAGCUGCAACUGCAGCUAUGAUGGGAAUGGUGGAUCCUUAACCCACUGUUCCAGGUAGGGGGAUGGAACCUGUGUCCCAGCGCUCCCAAGAUGCCGCCAAUCCCUCUGCCCCACAGCGGGAACUCCACCACUUUGUUUUGUUGUAAGGAUUAGUGAGGUAUGGUGAGUGCAUGGUCAGGACAAAAUAACCUCAACUCAAGUAGAAUCUAUGUGCUCUGAGAAGAAAAUCCAGGCGAGAUGGAGAAAAGAUUAGCCCACCGCCCCACUUCUCGAAAAUACCUGUUCUGGAGAGCAAAGUCCUUCCUUCCUAUACACCAGCCUCUUCCUGGGGCAGAGCCAUGGCAAGGGGCAUCUCCCAGCCUCCCCACCCUGGAGAGGGCACCCCUCAGUCCCAGAAAUGAGCUAUGAUUACCCCGUCGCAGUGAGACAGGGUGGGGGUGUGGGGUGGGGCAAGGGUUAUGACUGGCAGUCUCCCCAUGACAAGGCUGGAGUGUGGACCAAAGUGGUUUCUUUUUUUUUUUUUUUUUAAGUUUUUUUUUUUUUUUUUUUUUUUUUUUUUUUUUGCCUUUUCUUGGGCCGCUCUGCGGCAUAUGGAGGAGGUAAACAGCCACCACGGAACCAAGCAAUAUUUUCUUAAGGCACAUCUCUCAAAGGAGUCCAUGUGGCGAAGGGCUAGUUUCAGCACACCGAACAUUCGGGUGGGGAAAAGAAACACAAUCAAUACUCUGCAAGGAAUGUGAAAAUUACAUAAAAACUAUGACCCACCACCUCAGAGUGAAAGCCUAGAGGUGACGAUAUCCUCUCUCUGGUGGAGACAAAGUAGAAUCAGCUGCUUUGAUGGAUGUCUAAGCCCAUCAGGAAACAGUGUCAAUUUCCCAGGAAGAAUAGAUAGAAGCCUUCCAGCGUAUCUAGGAUUUCAGGCAGCAGGAUCUGCUCUCAACUUAGGAUGUUUAACCUUCACAAAGCUUAAGAGAGCCGCCGUCCUUGAGAAAUAUUAACAUAAUUAUAACCUAAAAGUUUCAGGUGCUCAGAAGGGCUGCCCCAGAGAUGACUCUAUUAUAAAAGAAAGGUUGUGAAGCGUAGAAAUCUUGUUCCAUCCCAUCUUGGGAAAACUGCAAAGGAGGCAGUGCCCUUUUGCUGCUCUCCAUCUCACUCACCAGAGUAACUUACAAGUACUUAAGUACUUGUGUAACUUAAGUACUUAAGCAACUUACAAGUACUUAAGUACUUGGGUCUCCCCUACCCCGUCCAGGCCGACACCACUGUGCUUCCCAUUUUACAGGUAAGGAAGGUGAGUCUCAGGGAGGUCAGGUCAUAUGCUAACCUGGCAGGAGACGGUGAGCCCAGUUUCACACCAAGACCUUCAGAUGUCAAUGCCUCUCUUUUUUUUUUUUUGGCUUUUUAGGGCCGCACCUGCAGCAUAUGGAAGUUCCCAGGCUAGGGGUCCAAUCGGAGCUAUAGCUGCCAGCCUACACCACAACCACAGCAACUCGGGAUCUGAGUUGCAUCUUCAACCUACACCACAGUUCACAGCAAUGCUGGAUCCUUAACCCACUGAGCGGGGCUGGGGAUCAAACCUGAGUCCUCGUGGAUACUAGUCUGGUUCCUUACUUCUGAGCCACAACAGGAACUCUUCAAAGCCCUUCUAUUAAUGGCUCUACUGCAUACUGCAAUCACCAACCACUUAGGAAAUCCCUUGGGGUUUUUUGGUUUGCUUUUUGUUUUUUUCAUGAUCAAACCCACAGCAUAUGGAAGUUCCCUGGCCAGGGAUUGAAUCCGAACCACAGAUGUGACCUACACCACAGCUGCAGCGACAGGCCAGGGAUGGAACCCAAGCCUCCGUAGUGAGCCAAGCCACUAUAGUUGGAUUCUUAGCCCACUGUGCCACAGCAGGAACUCCUCAAAUCCCCGGUUUUUAAGUAAGGUCUCUAAGUCUAUUCGCAAGCGAACGCUCUUAGGUAAUAGAACUCCAGCUACAGACCUCACCUACAAAUGCCUCACAACUAUUUCCAAAAACAAUAGCUAAUUUGAAGAAACUCAGAUAAAUUCAUUGGCUGGUGAAACUGCAGUGAAAACAGCCAGCCAGCCAUCUCUUACAGCCCUGAAUUCCAGGGCCUUCCUAAAGGUCUGAAGUCAAAGAGGCUGGGUUCAGACAGGCUCCACCAGCUACAGGGACCUUAGGUAAGCCGCCAACCUCACAGUCCUCAUCUUAAAAGGGAGAGAAAAACAGCAAGAAAGAAAUUCUAUUGCAUUGGCUUAUGUGGAAAAUUAAUAGUAAUAUCAUACAUGAAAUAAUUUGGUAAGCUGCAAAGCCCUAUACAAAUGGUGGAUUAAUUAUAAUUAUUUUGACUCAACCAUUUGGCUGGGAUCUUACAGAGAAUGUGAAGCAUCAGAUGAGUUUUUUAAAAAUGAGAUGCACAAUGGCACACUGAUCAAGGACAAAGCCCUGGACUCAGGAUACCUAAGUCCCAGCUCUCCCGCUUAAUUUGCUGUGUGAUCUAGAGCAGGUUACUUACCUUCUCUGUACCUCAGUUUUCUUAUCUGGAAAAUGGAGAUGAUAAUUUGUGCCUACCUCACAGGGUUGCCCUGAAAACCAUGCAAGGUAAAAUACUUAAAGAACUUAAAACAUUUCUUGGCACACAGGAUGCCUGAGGUGCAUUGUUAUACUAUUAUGAUUUUCCUCAAGCAGGCAAAAGGUGGACUUUUGGAGCCUUAACUACAAAACAAAAGUGCUGCAGCAGAGGGCAUAAGACACACUAUACCUUUGACAAGCAGCCCCAAAAUGUACUGUAUUUUUUCUCUGGGGCACGCUUUUGGAGAGAACAAUAAGUCAUCAGGCUCUCAGCAAAACCCUGUUUCUUCCUCUCUCCCUUUCCCCUUCAUAUGCAAAAAACAUGAGCCCUCUUCUUCAUUACUCUCCCAGCCCCAAAGACCAGCCUCACCCCGGGGGGGAAGGCCCUGUGAGAGAACCCAGGACAGCCUGGGCUAGUCCCUGGGGACCAGGGCAGCUGCAGAAUGUCCAGCUCCUCUCCUCCACUCUCCGUCUUGGUCCUUCCCAUCCUUCGAGGCUCCCAUCGCAUCCCACUUCCUCCCGAAAGAUGCCUCCUUUCUGGGCAUCCUGCAUCUGUAAUUGCCAACUCUGAGCUCACUGGCUGUAGAAUUACUUCACAAGUGCCUAUUUUACGGCCCCUAAACGGUACACCCCUCGAGGGCUUGUCAUAGUUCUUCCAGAUUCCCCACAGUGCUUAGCAUGGUGCUCCAGACACUGACACCGUUUGUGUUCCAUAAAUAAUCGGGGAAGGGGUUUAAUUCACUGGAAGGAGCCCAGAAUCCCUGCAAAGUGGUCAGAUGCAAACUAGGUCUAUGCCUCGACGCCUCCUCCCCAAGCCCAGGGCGAUGCUGCUCUCAGAUUGCAGCAUUCCCUCCCAGAGACCCUCUAAGAAACCUCAGAAUCCUUGUCAACACGGCACCGCGGGCAGCCCACACCAAGUGACAGGAAAGAUGAACCCUUUUUGCCAUCUCCGCUUCCGAGGCACUCCCUUCACUGAGCCUCUGCAGCACUGGGACUGAACCACUGUGAUGGUAACUACCACACUCUAAUGUACAGAGCUGUUGGCUUGUCUGCCUCCACUAGACCAGAGGCUUUCAAACGUUUGAUCAUGAGAGCCCAAUCAUAACCCAGAUUAGCAUAGAUCAUACCGAAGCUAUCGUUCCCCCAGACAAUAGGUACCUGAUUAACGUGAUGCCUUCUGCUAUCUCCCAUUAUAUUCUAUCCAAAAAUACUGAUUCAGACCCACAAAAUUCAUCUCAUGGUGCACUACGUUGACAACUAUUUCAAUAUGAUGUAGAGAUAGAUAAACAGACAUAGAAUGUUACAUAAUAAAUAAUGUUAGCUAAGGUAACAUUAGCAGCUGUAACUGACAAAUCCUGAAAUCUCCAUCUUCUCCACCGUAGAAGUGUGUUUAUUGCUCACAUAAAACCUAAACGAGUGUGGACUGGCAGGUAGAUUCUCCUGGGCAGUCACUGGUGGGUUUAAGGCUGUUUCCAUCUUGUGGUAUCUUCAACCCAUGACUUCGAGGGUUUCCUUGUUCAGGAUCAGAGCAACCCUGCCUGAGAAGUCUUCUCAUGGGUCAAGCGUACAAGGGACACUCAUUGCUUUCCUGCUUUCCAUCUCAUUCCAUUGGCUAAUGUUUAGUCCCAUGGCCUCACUUGACUGCAAGGGACCUGGGAAUUGCAGUCCAGCCAUGUGCCCCCGAAGAAAGAGAGAGACAGAUCUGAUGAUCGGCCCGCCAUCUCUGCCAGAGACCUGCCAUUUAAAAAACCCUCCAAGGAAAGGACCCGGAUGUGUUCGCAUUUUUAUCUCUAGUGACUUGCAAAAUACUUGGCUCAGCGUAAGUGCAUAGAAAAUGUAUGAUCAGAGAAUGAAUGGGGGACAUGGUAGACCCUGGCCAGAGUUCCAGAAGUGUUAUGGUUUAUGGUUAAGCUUCAUGACUCUCUCCAAAUUCACACGCAUGCAAACCCCCUUCCCUGCCCAAAGCACAGCUGAAUCCCCAAAUCGAGAUGACAGCAGGUGGGGAAGAUUCUGGAGAAACUGUCUUCAUGUCUUCCCUCUAUUUGGGGGCUGCACAACCGCUUACUCUUCCUACUACCACAUGCCCACUGAAAAGGAGCACAGAAGAACCACCAAGAACACCCAGGCUUUUGAGGCAGAUGGAUCCUGUCGGGACCUCUCUCUGGCUACAGAACUACAGCUGAGCGCUUACUAUGUGUGCAGCGCGAUCCUGAACACCUCCCAUCCAUUAGCUCGUUGCAUCCUCACCAUAAGCCGCUGAUGGACAGUGAUUUCCCCCUCCGACCCUCCAGUUCCCUCAGUGAGAGUGAAUGUCUUCUACCCGCUGCGUCCCCAAAGUGCUUUGUUCAUGACCCUUUCCAACAAUUCACUCAGGAGGGAGCUGGUUGGCAUGUGGAGCUACACCCCUAUUCAUCUGGUCUCUCCAAUUGCACUUCAAGGAUAGUGGAAACAGCAUAUACGUGAGAGUCAUAAUACCUAGAUUCAGAUGCCAGACCCAACCGAACAGGCGUGUGUGAUGGGCUGAGAUACUUACCUCCUCUGAGCCUCAAUUUCCUUAUCUGAGACAUGGGGUCAGAAGUCCCACCUUAAAGGGAUGCUGGGACAUAUAAACCUCAUAUCUCUAAAGACCUCUGCCUGACACAAAGUGGGUUCUUUACAAAGUAAGAACGUUCCCCCCCCCACCCCGACCCAUCUCUUCCUGGAGGGCAUCGGUAAUGUUUUAUUCCUAGGCAUUAACACCAUACCUUGCACGUAAUAAAUAAAUAAUAGAU
rnacentral:lncRNA from 1 species